rnacentral:rRNA from 1 species
UACGUAGGGUGCAAGCGUUAUCCGGAAUUAUUGGGCGUAAAGAGCUCGUAGGCGGUUUGUCGCGUCUGCUGUGAAAACUGGAGGCUCAACCUCCAGCUUGCAGUGGGUACGGGCAGACUAGAGUGCGGUAGGGGAGACUGGAAUUCCUGGUGUAGCGGUGAAAUGCGCAGAUAUCAGGAGGAACACCGAUGGCGAAGGCAGAUCUCUGGGCCGUAACUGA